GGGGGAUAUUGCGCAAUGGGGGCAACCCUGACGCAGCAACGCCGCGUGAAGGAUGAAGGUUUUCGGAUUGUAAACUUCUUUUAUUAGGGACGAAACUUGACGGUACUUAAUGAAUAAGCUCCGGCUAACUACGUGCCAGCAGCCGCGGUAAUAUGUAGGGAGCAAGCGUUGUCCGGAUUUACUGGGUGUAAAGGGUGCGUAGGCGGCUUUGCAAGUCAGAUGUGAAAUCUAUGGGCUCAACCCAUAAACUGCAUUUGAAACUGUAGAGCUUGAGUGAAGUAGAGGCAGGCGGAAUUCCCCGUGUAGCGGUGAAAUGCGUAGAGAUGGGGAGGAACACCAGUGGCGAAGGCGGCCUGCUGGGCUUUAACUGACACUGAGGCACGAAAGCGUGGGUAGCAAAC
rnacentral:rRNA from 1 species